UACGGGGGGGGCAAGCGUUGUUCGGAAUUACUGGGCGUAAAGGGUUUGUAGGUGGCUUGUUAAGUCAGACGUGAAAUCCCUCAGCUUAACUGGGGAACUGCGUCUGAUACUGGCGAGCUUGAGUGCAGGAGAGGAACGCGGAAUUCCAGGUGUAGCGGUGAAAUGCGUAGAUAUCUGGAGGAACACCGGUGGCGAAGGCGGCGUUCUGGGCCAUACCUGACGCUAAAGCGCGACAGCAUGGGGAGCAAACGGG
rnacentral:rRNA from 1 species